UCCUCGAUAGCUCAGUUGGUAGAGCGCCGGACUGUUAAUCCGUAGGUCACUGGUUCGAGCCCAGUUCGAGGAG
rnacentral:tRNA from 1 species